CGGGUAAGUUCCGACCUGCACGAAAGGCGCAACGACUUGGGCGCUGUCUCGACCAUGGACCCGGUGAAAUUGCACUGGUCGUGAAGAUGCGACUUACCCGCGGAAGGACGGAAAGACCCCGUGAACCUUCACUGCAGCUUGGCAUUGGCCGCUGGUCCCGCGUGUAGAGGAUAGGCAGGAGGCAUCGAUCCGGAGGCGCCAGCCCCCGGGGAGCCGCCCUUGGAAUACUGCCCUCGCGCGACCGGCGUCCUAACCC
rnacentral:rRNA from 1 species